rnacentral:rRNA from 1 species
GACAGAGGGUGCAAACGUUGUUCGGAAUUACUGGGCGUAAAGCGCGUGUAGGCGGCCAUCUAAGUCGGGCGUGAAAUCCCACGGCUCAACCGUGGAAGUGCACUCGAAACUGGAUGGCUAGAGUCCUGGAGAGGAAGGUGGAAUGCUUGGUGUAGAGGUGAAAUUCGUAGAUAUCAAGCGGAACACCGGUGGCGAAGGCGGCCUUCUGGGACAGUGACUGACGCUGAGACGCGAAAGCGUGGGGAGCAAACAGG